rnacentral:rRNA from 1 species
UAACGUAGGGUGCGAGGCGUUGUCCGGAAUUUAUUGGGCGUAAAAGGAGCUCGGUAGGCGGUUUGUCGCGUCUGCUAGGUGAAAACCUCGGGGGCUUAACCCCCGGGCCUUGCAGUGGGUACGGGCAGACUAGAGUGCGGUAGGGGAGACUGGAAUUCCUGGUGUAGCGGUGAAAUGCGCAGAUAUCAGGAGGAACACCGGUGGCGAAGGCGGGUCUCUGGGCCGAUACUGACGCUGAGGAGCGAAAGCGUGGGGAGCGAACAGG